rnacentral:rRNA from 1 species
GAUAAACGCUGGCGGCGUGCCUAAUACAUGCAAGUCGAGCGAACGGACGAGAAGCUUGCUUCUCUGAUGUUAGCGGCGGACGGGUGAGUAACACAUGGAUAACCUACCUAUAAGACUGGGAUAACUUCGGGAAACCGGAGCUAAUACCGGAUAAUAUUUUGAACCGAAUGGUUCAAAAGUGAAAGACGGUCUUGCUGUCACUUAUAGAUGGAUCCGCGCUGCAUUAGCUAGUUGGUAAGGUAACGGCUUACCAAGGCAACGAUGCAUAGCCGACCUGAGAGGGUGAUCGGCCACACUGGAACUGAGACACGGUCCAGACUCCUACGGGAGGCAGCAGUAGGGAAUCUUCCGCAAUGGGCGAAAGCCUGACGGAGCAACGCCGCGUGAGUGAUGAAGGUCUUCGGAUCGUAAAACUCUGUUAUUAGGGAAGAACAUAUGUGUAAGUAACUGUGCACAUCUUGACGGUACCUAAUCAGAAAGCCACGGCUAACUACGUGCCAGCAGCCGCGGUAAUACGUAGGUGGCAAGCGUUAUCCGGGAUUAUUGGGCGUAAAGCGCGCGUAGGCGGUUUUUUAAGUCUGAUGUGAAAGCCCACGGCUCAACCGUGGAGGGUCAUUGGAAACUGGAAAACUUGAGUGCAGAAGAGGAAAGUGGAAUUCCAUGUGUAGCGGUGAAAUGCGCAGAGAUAUGGAGGAACACCAGUGGCGAAGGCGACUUUCUGGUCUGUAACUGACGCUGAUGUGCGAAAGCGUGGGGAUCAAACAGGAUUAGAUACCUUGGUAGUCCACGCCGUAAACGAUGAGUGCUAAGUGUUAGGGGGUUUCCGCCCCUUAGUGCUGCAGCUAACGCAUUAAGCACUCCGCCUGGGGAGUACGACCGCAAGGUUGAAACUCAAAGGAAUUGACGGGGACCCGCACAAGCGGUGGAGCAUGUGGUUUAAUUCGAAGCAACGCGAAGAACCUUACCAAAUCUUGACAUCCUUUGACAACUCUAGAGAUAGAGCCUUCCCCUUCGGGGGACAAAGUGACAGGUGGUGCAUGGUUGUCGUCAGCUCGUGUCGUGAGAUGUUGGGUUAAGUCCCGCAACGAGCGCAACCCUUAAGCUUAGUUGCCAUCAUUAAGUUGGGCACUCUAAGUUGACUGCCGGUGACAAACCGGAGGAAGGUGGGGAUGACGUCAAAUCAUCAUGCCCCUUAUGAUUUGGGCUACACACGUGCUACAAUGGACAAUACAAAGGGCAGCGAAACCGCGAGGUCAAGCAAAUCCCAUAAAGUUGUUCUCAGUUCGGAUUGUAGUCUGCAACUCGACUACAUGAAGCCGGAAUCGCUAGUAAUCGUAGAUCAGCAUGCUACGGUGAAUACGUUCCCGGGUCU